rnacentral:rRNA from 1 species
UACGUAGGGAGCAAGCGUUAUCCGGAUUUAUUGGGUGUAAAGGGUGCGUAGACGGGCUAACAAGUUAGUUGUGAAAUCCCUCGGCUUAGCUGAGGAACUGCAACUAAAACUAUUAGUCUCUGAGUGCGGGAGAGGAAAGUGGAAUUCCUAGUGUAGCGGUGAAAUGCGUAGAUAUUAGGAGGAACACCAGUGGCGAAGGCGACUUUCUGGACCGUAACUGACGUUGAGGCACGAAAGUGUGGGGAGCAAACAGG